GUUGGAGUUGUAAGAGUCUAGCCUGCCCACUGACACUUAGUUGAAGGGCCGCGGUAUUCUGACCGUGCCAAGGUAGCAUAAUCAUUAGUCUCUUAAUUGGAGGCUUGUAUGAAUGGUUGGACAAAAAAGUGUCUGUCUCUAUAGUAAAAUUAAAAUUUGAUUUUUGAGUGAAAAAGCUCAAAUAAGUCAAGAAGACGAUAAGACCCUAUAAAGCUUUAUACUAAAAUUGAAUUGAAAUUAAUUUAUAGAUCAAGUAAUAUCAGUUAAAUGAAGUAUUAUGUUGGGGCGACAAAGGUAUAAAUUGUAUAACUGCUUACAAAAGAAACAUUUAUAUAUGAGUAAAGGUAAAAGAUCCCUUUUAAGGAUUAGAAGAUUAAGUUACUUUAGGGAUAACAGCGUUAUUUCUUUUGAGAGUUCAUAUCGAAAAAGAAGUUUGCGACCUCGAUGUUGAAUUAAAAUAUCAAUAUAGUGCAGCAGCUAUAUAUGAGGGACUGUCGACCUUAAU
rnacentral:rRNA from 1 species